rnacentral:lncRNA from 1 species
AGCUUCCAGGUGGCCAUCCAUGACUCCCCCUCUGGCUCUCUGGUAACCACAGACGCUUCUUCCUCCCCUGGAAAGCAGAGGGUGAGAUUUUGGGAGGGGUUUUUGAUGUUUUGGUGGUGGCUGGAGAGAGCCAGGGUUCCCAUCAGGUGAGG